CCUACGGGAGGCAGCAGUAGGGAAUCUUCCACAAUGGACGAAAGUCUGAUGGAGCAACGCCGCGUGAGUGAAGAAGGGUUUCGGCUCGUAAAGCUCUGUUGGUAGUGAAGAAAGAUAGAGGUAGUAACUGGCCUUUAUUUGACGGUAAUUACUUAGAAAGUCACGGCUAACUACGUGCCAGCAGCCGCGGGAAUACGUAGGUGGCAAGCGUUGUCCGGAUUUAUUGGGCGUAAAGCGAGUGCAGGCGGUUCAAUAAGUCUGAUGCGAAAGCCUUCGGCUCAACCGGAGAAUUGCAUCAGAAACUGUUGAACUUGAGUGCAGAAGAGGAGAGUGGAACUCCAUGUGUAGCGGUGGAAUGCGUAGAUAUAUGGAAGAACACCAGUGGCGAAGGCGGCUCUCUGGGCUGCAACUGACGCUGAGGCUCGAAAGCAUGGGUAGCGAACAGGAUUAGAUACCCCAGUAGUC
rnacentral:rRNA from 1 species